AAUGCAUAAAAGAAGGUUACGAAGUAUUGUCCAGAAUACUCUAAAUUUGGAAGAAGCAAAUAGUGAAUAGCAGACAGUUGUUGGAUCUUCGAAUGUACCGAAGGCACUUGACGAGCCUGUAGAAUUUCAAACUGAAAGUGAUGGGACGCCCAGAGUUCGAGGACUUACGCUGCUUAAAGAUUUAUACGAAUUAAAUCCUGUCGAAUGUGUCAAAGUAAGUAGAAACAGUCAUGGUCAGCCUGUUGGAUCUGAAGCUCAACUUUUAGCAGGCUAUUUGGGCAUUAUAGCACGAAAUGCUAAUAUGUUGCCCAUCAACUACGAAUCAUGGCAUCACAUGCCUGAUAGCAACAAAAAUCAGGCUCUCGAUAAAAUUAAGGAGAGAUUUGCUUUAGAGGUCUCUGAUGACUAUAUCAAGAAGGCAUUGGGUAAAAAAUGGAGAGACCAUAAAAGCACUUUGAAAAAACUAUAUUUUAAGAAAGACAUAAGCCUCGAGGAAAAAUUGAGAAAUGUCCCACCGGGAAUGCUG